UACGAAGGGGGCUAGCGUUGUUCGGAAUUACUGGGCGUAAAGCGCACGUAGGCGGGUAUUUAAGUCAGGGGUGAAAUCCCAGAGCUCAACUCUGGAACUGCCUUUGAUACUGGGUACCUAGAGUAUGGAAGAGGUAAGUGGAAUUCCGAGUGUAGAGGUGAAAUUCGUAGAUAUUCGGAGGAACACCAGUGGCGAAGGCG
rnacentral:rRNA from 1 species